CAUAAAAAAGAACGAAAUAAUGCCAUUUGCAGCAACAUGGACUGAACCAGAGACUCUCAUACUGAGUGAAGUAAGUCUGAAAGAGAAAGACAAAUACCAUAUGAUAUCACUUAUAUCUGGAAUCUAAUAUAUGGCACAAAUGAGCCUUUCCACAGAAAAGAAAAUCAUGGGCUUGGAGAAUAGACUUGUGGUUGCCAAGGGGGAGGGGGAUAGGGAGGGAGUGGAAUAGAUAGGGAAAUUGGGGUUAAUAGAUGCAGACUAUUGCCUUUGGAAUGGAUUAGCAAUGAGAUCCUGCUGUGUAGCACUGGGAACUAUGUCUGGUCACUUACGAAAGAGCAUUAUAAUGUGAGAAAAAAGCAUAUAUACAUGUAUGUGUAAGUGGAUCACCAUGCCGUAUAGUGGAAAAUUGACAGAACACUGUAAACCAGCUAUAAUGGAAAAAAAAACAUUAUAUAUAUAUAUAUAUAUAAUACAGGACUCUUUUGAAGCCCUGCAAUUAAAAUGAAUCCACCUUAAAUCCUUCAGCAAGGAUCCAUUGGAAGGCAAGUCUUAUGUCAGCAGCUGUGGUUAUUCCAGCUUCAAUAGUGUAUAUUAAAGUUGCUGCAUUUAAAAAGGUGAAGUUGGAUGUUGGGAGUGGGUGGGUGCUCUGCCAUGAGGUGAGCCACUGCCUAUCCCUGCCCCGUGCCUCUUGGUACCCCCUUGAUGCUUUUAGCUGAGUGUCCUAUGGGAACUGAAGCAUUUAUUUUGACAAAAAAAUUACGUUCAAAGCAGGCUCAAGCCACCUGGAUACUGCAGCUAGGAAUAAUGUAAUAGGACCAUGGUUCUUUUUGUUGUUUUGUUUUGAACUGAGGCCAUGAUUACGAGGGAUGGCCAGGGUCAUUUGUAUUGUGUUACUAGAGGUGAAAUUUUUAGACUGGUGCAAGAUGGACCAGAGUGAAAGCAUUUGCCGAGAAUGUUUUCAUUAAUCAAGAAUGAAAAUCAAAGUUUCGAAGAUGGUCGUAUGUCAUUGUAGUUCUGACCAUAAAUGAUGACAACUGGCGGUGCAGCAGCAUUAUUCCCAAGACCUACUUGAAAAAUUCUGGUAAACCCAAGUCUUUGGGUUCCAGGGGGAGUAUGAUUGCAAAGCUGGAGCUUAAAGGAAUUGAUGGGAGGUCACCAUCAGGAGUUGAGCCUUUGGCUUAAUUUGACUCAGCAUGGGAAAUCUCACCCAGCCCAGACACGGACAGUAUUGACAGAUUAAUAGCUCUUUCUCAAUUCUGUGGGUGGUGGUACAUGGCCGUACUUAGUUGUAGUGAUUAGGUUAAUUCUGAUAAUGAACAAGAUUCUGGCAUGCUAACUAGUUAUAUGACCCCUGAGCGGUGGGCAUCCCCCCAACUUCUUGGAGGGACAAGUGCCAUUCAGCCACCCGAGAUUGAGCAAUAACAGGUCUGUGAUGCCCUUACAUAUCUGAGGCUGCACUCAUGCUACACUGACUGGCUCAGCGUGUGCCUACCCUAUGCCAGCAGGCAUGGGUAACAUAUUGAAUUCUACUUGUGAUGAGGAUCAGGGAUUGCAGUUAUUCCCCAUGAAGGAGGAAUUCCCAGUAAGUGUGAGUCAUAAGCUAGUGUUAUGUGCCUGUCACUUGUACAUAUCACCCAUUGCAAUUACUGAUUGGAAGGUUUAGUGAGGCCCUUGGGUUGGUCAUGCUGGGUUUGGCACAGGGACCUGGCAGAGCUCUAAGAAGAUAGUUGAAGUUGACUAUCAAGAGGAAGUUAAAGUUUUAACAAGGUGUCCCUAGGUGAACUAGCAGAUC
rnacentral:rRNA from 1 species